GAAGCCGGUGGUCGUCCCUCGCACGCGCGCGCACUCUCACUCUCGACGGUCGUUCGAGGUACGUCACCUCACCACCCCGCCAAUCCCUUUGCCGCGGACUCGCGAGCCUGCUCCGGCGAAGCGAAUAAUAUUAUUGUGGUCGCAGCCGCCACUGCUCUCUGUCAGUCGUCACGGCCAUUGUAUAAUAUACACAUUGCAUUUACGACGGCCGUCGUGUUCCGCGUACACACUACGCAAUUGCAAUUUGCAACACGGAACCAGGAACGCUCUCUCCCUCUCGACCGCCCACCCGCCCAGGACCGACCGAACGACAGCCAGCCAGCCAGUCAGACACCCCGCCCGACGCGUUUGUCCGUCGUGUCCUUAAUGAACGCAGUCACCACACACGGGCGUCAUAGAUGUUAAUUGUCCUGUUAAAACCGAUAGGGAUACUAUGUUCCUACAUAUUUAAAGCCAUGGGACAAAGCUUGGUCAUUGGUUCUGAGCGGUCUGCUAGACGGAAGAAACAAAAAGCUGAUGGCAAUCCACCCGUUGACACGCCGACUGUGUCACUCACAGCGGCUUCCAUGACCGACCUAGACAACAUUACUCAGCACCAGAUAGUGUACAAAAAAAUGGAACAACUGAUGGACCGGAUGCAGGAUGAGAACACCGGCAUUCCUGUGCGUACUGUCAACAAGUUCAGAGCUAAAGUGCCUUCAGUGUUCACUGGAACCGAUCUAAUAUUGUGGAUAAUGAAGAAUGUAGAUGUUGAUGAUCAAGUUGAAGCAUUAUACUUUGCAAAUCUACUGUCUUCUCAUGGUUACUUGUUUCCAAUUGAUGACCAUUUCCUGAAUGUGAAGAAUGAUGGAUCUUAUUAUCGUUUUCAAACUCCUUAUUAUUGGCCAUCAAAUAUAUUUGAACCUGAAAAUACUGACUAUGCUGUAUACUUAUGCAAAAGAACAAUGCAAAAUAAAACACGCUUAGAAUUGGCUGAUUAUGAAGCUGAAAACUUAGCAAAACUCCAAAAAGUUUUAUCUCGAAAAUGGGAAUUUGUAUUCUUACAAGCAGAGGCUCAAAGUAAGGUGGACAAGAAACGAGACCGUAUGGAAAGAAAAAUAUUAGAUAGUCAAGAACGUGCAUUUUGGGACGUACAUAGACCAAUGCCUGGUACUAUAAUAACAACAGAAAUUGACUACAGGAAAUUAAAGAGGUAUAAAGAAUCAUCUACCCUAGCAAAUGGAGACAUUACCAACCUGCUACUGCCUAUACAGCUCCCAGUAAAAUCUAACAUUGGUAAACCUACUAUUGAAUCUAUAAAAAAAGAUAUAACUGCAAUGCGGUUAAAGCUUGAUCGUCGUAAUAUAAAACUAUCAAAAAUUGCAGACACAUACAUUACCUAUUUUGAACAGUAUGCAGAAUAUGAUCCAUUUUUUACACCUCCAGAAUUCAGCAACCCUUGGUUAUUAGAUAAUAUUGAAGUAUGGGAUUGUGAUAAACAUUCUUCUAUGUUUUCGUAUAGGAAAGAAGUUACAGUGCGUCGAAUAAAACGAUGGGCAUUUAGUUUAAAAGAGCUUCUAGCUGAUCCUGCUGGAAAGGAACAUUUUACAAAAUUCCUGGAAAAAGAAUUUAGUUGUGAAAAUUUAAAAUUUUGGGAAGCAGUACAAAAUCUUAAGAAAUUACCACAACGUGAAGUGCCUAAAGCUGCUGAAGAAAUAUGGACAGAAUAUUUAAGUGGUGAUUCAUUAAACAUUGAUUCUCAGUCAAGAGAAUUAAGCCGAAAGAACAUGUCUGCUCCUGAUAGAUGGGCAUUUGAUAUCGCUGCCGUAUGUAAUCGCACAUUUUCAUUAUGUUCAUGUUUACCAUUUAAUGAAGAGUGAUAGCUACCAGAGGUAUAUAAGAUCAGAAAUGUAUAAAGAAUAUUUAAAUACUUCCAAGAAAAAGACUUCCAUGAAAGGCAUUAGAUCUAUAGUAUCAUUUUCUGGAAAAAGAGAUAUUUGCCCAUCGUGAUGGUUUGCGUACUUACAUUAUUCA
rnacentral:misc_RNA from 1 species